UACAGAGGGGGCCAGCGUUAUUCGGAAUUAUUGGGCGUAAAGAGCUCGUAGGCGGUUUGUUGCGUCGGCUGUGAAAUCCCGAGGCUCAACCUCGGGUCUGCAGUCGAUACGAGCAAACUAGAGUGUUGCAGGGGAGACUGGAAUUCCUGGUGUAGCGGUGAAAUGCGCAGAUAUCAGGAGGAACACCGGUGGCGAAGGCGGGUCUCUGGGCAACAACUGACGCUGAGGAGCGAAAGCGUGGGGAGCGAACAGG
rnacentral:rRNA from 1 species